ACCGGUGAAGCAGAAUCCCCAAGAAGAAGAAAAGAAGACAGGAAUACAGAGAAGAAGCAAAAGCUGCCUGGUUUUGAGAUAAGAAGUUUUGUAAAUCUUAGUCGGGAUUUUUAUCGGACCAGUAUUGUCCAAGGGGAAGCCAAUGGGUGGAGAGCAGAGCAACGAACACAAAGAAGCUGCCAAUCCAAGCCAGGGAACACGGGGUAGAGAAAUGGAAAUGACGACACCAGAGCCAGCUGCUCCCCUCCGUUCGCAAGGCCAAACCGAGCCUGGCAACAUUCCCCAAAUACCCCUCGGGGGCAAGAUGGUGGAUGACAUGCGUUUCAUGAUAACUUGCACGAACUGGUACUGAGCCUUGGGCUGCAGCAGGAAUCAAGUUGAGGGUGAGCGAGGAGGUGAUAGAGUGCAACCUGUGAGUGUCAUCAGUGGAUUGGGUUUGGAUACCAUCAUGUCACAGCAUUGAUACCUUGUACCAAUCUGUUCAUAAAGAGGAGACUUCACAGGUGACUUCUGGAGGACAAGUGGAGCCCCAGUGUCAUUUUCAACAACAACAUUGCUCAUAACAGACAACUGUCUGUACUCUAAUAGCACUACAUCAUUCAUAAAUAAAUGAAAUGGCAGUUUGCUGCAUGGUUUGAUUAUA